GAAACGACUGCUAAGACUGGAUAGGAGAUAAGAAGGCAUCUUUUUAUUUUUAAAAGACCUAGCAAUAGGUAUGCUUAGGGAAGAGCUUGCGUCACAUUAGUUAGUUGGUGGGGUAAUGGCCUACCAAGACGAUGAUGUGUAGCCGGGCUGAGAGGUCGAACGGCCACAUUGGGACUGAGACACGGCCCAAACUCCUACGGGAGGCAGCAGUAAGGAAUUUUCGGCAAUGGAGGAAACUCUGACCGAGCAAUGCCGCGUGAACGAUGAAGUAUUUCGGUACGUAAAGUUCUUUUAUUAGGAAAGAAAAGAUGGUGGAAAAACCAUUAUGACGGUACCUAAUGAAUAAGCCCCGGCUAACUAUGUGCCAGCAGCCGCGGUAAUACAUAGGGGGCAAGCGUUAUCCGGAAUUAUUGGGCGUAAAGGGUGCGUAGGCGGUUAAAUAAGUUUAUGGUCUAAGUGCAACGCUCAACGUUGUGAUGCUAUAAAAACUGUUUAGCUAGAGUUGGAUAGAGGCAAGUGGAAUUCCGUGUGUAGUGGUAAAAUGCGUAAAUAUACGGAGGAACACCAGAAGCGAAGGCGGCUUGCUGGGUCUUAACUGACGCUGAGGCACGAAAGCGUGGGGAGCAAACAGGAUUAGAUACCCUGGUAGUCCACGCCCUAAACGAUGAGUACUAAACGUUGGAUAAAACCAGUGUUGAAGUUAACACAUUAAGUACUCCGCCUGAGUAGUACGUACGCAAGUAUGAAACUUAAAGGAAUUGACGGGACUCCGCACAAGCGGUGGAUCAUGUUGUUUAAUUCGAAGGUACCCGAAAAACCUCACCAGGUCUUGACAUGCUUUUGCAAAGCUGUAGAAAUACAGUGGAGGUUAUCAAAAGCACAGGUGGUGCAUGGUUGUCGUCAGCUCGUGUCGUGAGAUGUUGGGUUAAGUCCCGCAACGAGCGCAACCCUUGUUGUUAAUUGCCAUCAUUAAGUUGGGGACUUUAGCAAGACUGCCAAUGAUAAAUUGGAGGAAGGUGGGGACGACGUCAAAUCAUCAUGCCCCUUAUGACCUGGGCUACAAACGUGAUACAAUGGCUGUUACAAAGGGUAGCUAAAGCGUAAGCUUCUGGCGAAUCUCAAAAAAGCAGUCUCAGUUCGGAUUGAAGUCUGCAACUCGACUUCAUGAAGUUGGAAUCGCUAGUAAUCGCGAAUCAGCAUGUCGCGGUGAAUACGUUCGCGGGGUUUGUACACACCGCCCGUCA
rnacentral:rRNA from 1 species